GAGAAUAGAGCUCAGUGGUAGAGCGUGUGUUUGGCGUGCAUAAGGUCCUGGGUUCAAUCCCCAGUAACUCCA
rfam:Camelus ferus unplaced genomic scaffold scaffold46, whole genome shotgun sequence.